rnacentral:rRNA from 1 species
UGUCUAUUAANUGUAGNCUAGUAUGAAAGGCCACAUGAGAGCCAAACUGUCUCUUAUAAUAAAUCAAUUAAACUGAUCUUCUAGUACAAAAGCUAGAAUAACUAUAUAAGACCAGAAGACCCUGUGAAGCUUAAACUAAACUAUUAAACCUACUAAUAGCUAAUUUCGGUUGGGGCGACCUUGGAACAAAACAAAACUUCCAAACAAAAUGAGCCUUACCUCAUAACCAUAGGCCAACAAGCCAACCAACGACCCAGUAUAACUGAUCACUGAACCAAGUUACUCCAGGGAUAACAGCGCUAUCUUCUUCAAGAGCCCAUAUCAAAAAGAAGGUUUACGACCUCGAUGUUGGAUCAGGACACCCAAAUGGUGUAGCCGCUAUUAACGGUUCGUUUGUNCANCGAUUAACAGU